rnacentral:rRNA from 1 species
AAUGAACGUUGGCGGCAUGGAUUAGGCAUGCAAGCCGAGCGAGAAGGGUCCGGUAGCUUGCUACUGGACCUGGACAGCGGCGAAAGGGAGAGUAACGCGUAGUUAUGUACCCAGGGGUUCGGAAUAGCCACGGGAAACUGUGGGUAAUGCCGAAUAACAUCUCCGGAUCAAAGGUGUGAUUCCGCCCUUGGAGCAGACUGCGUCCUACUAGCUUGUUGGUGGGGUAAUGGCCUACCAAGGCAACGAUGGGUAGCGGGUGUGAGAGCAUGACCCGUCUCACUGGGACUGAGACACUGCCCAGAAACCUACGGGUGGCGGCAGUCGAGAAUCUUCGGCAAUGAGCGAAAGCUUGACCGAGCGAUGCCGCGUGCGGGAUGAAGGCCCUCGGGUUGUAAACCGCUGUCGUAGGGGAGGAAGGCUUCGUGAAGAGCGAGGUUUGACCUAUCCUAGGAGGAAGUACGGGCUAAGUACGUGCCAGCCGCCGCGGUAACAC